UCUCCUCAAAGCGUAGGGAAUUGCGAAUU
rnacentral:piRNA from 1 species